AACGCUAGCUACAGGCUUAACACAUGCAAGUCGAGGGGCAUCAGGAAGAAAGCUUGCUUUCUUUGCUGGCGACCGGCGCGCGGGUGAGUAACACGUAUCCAACCUGCCGAUGACUCGGGGAUAGCCUUUCGAAAGAAAGAUUAAUACCCGAUGGUAUAUCUGAAGGCAUCUUUCAGCUAUUAAAGAAUUUCGGUCAUUGAUGGGGAUGCGUUCCAUUAGGUUGUUGGCGGGGUAACGGCCCACCAAGCCAUCGAUGGAUAGGGGUUCUGAGAGGAAGGUCCCCCACAUUGGAACUGAGACACGGUCCAAACUCCUACGGGAGGCAGCAGUGAGGAAUAUUGGUCAAUGGACGAGAGUCUGAACCAGCCAAGUAGCGUGAAGGAUGACUGCCCUAUGGGUUGUAGACUUCUUUUAUACGGGAAUAAAGUUAGGCACGUGUGCCUUUUUGUAUGUACCGUAUGAAUAAGGAUCGGCUAACUCCGUGCCAGCAGCCGCGGUAAUACGGAGGAUCCGAGCGUUAUCCGGAUUUAUUGGGUUUAAAGGGAGCGUAGGCGGAUGCUUAAGUCAGUUGUGAAAGUUUGCGGCUCAACCGUAAAAUUGCAGUUGAUACUGGGUGUCUUGAGUACAGUAGAGGCAGGCGGAAUUCGUGGUGUAGCGGUGAAAUGCUUAGAUAUCACGAAGAACUCCGAUUG
rnacentral:rRNA from 1 species